CUAAGGAUAAGGAACUGCGCAUUGGUCUUGUUUAGUCUUGAGAGGUCUUGUGGGGCCUUAGCUCAGCUGGGAGAGCGCCUGCUUUGCACGCAGGAGGUCAGCGGUUCGAUCCCGCUAGGCUCCAUUGGUGAGAGAUCACCAAGUAAUGCACAUUGAAAAUUGAAUAUCUAUAUCAAAUAGUAACAAGAAAAUAAACCGAAACGCUGUAAGUAUUUAAUGAGUUUUCUAAUUUUUGAAAAAAUUAGGUUAAUAA
rnacentral:tRNA from 1 species